rnacentral:lncRNA from 1 species
AGGUCUAAUUAUUUUGCCAUUUCUCUCAUCCUAAAUAUAAUUGAAAUGCAAUGAGUGAGAGCCCACAGGGAUUCUCUUAGUGUCCAGAUGGGCAUUUCUGCUUUUCCUCAUGAUGGGCUGGACUAUUGAAAAUUAAUUCGUAUUUUCAGCUGUGCCAGGUUGUCAGCCAGCUCACAAGUGUAAUCCGUGGUCAAGGGAACUUUUAAGUUACAAUAUUUUCUUUAUGGUUUCUA